UACUAAAUAAUGCUUUAAGUUAUUAUAUGCUUGGAAACUAGAUGCACUAACAGUAAAAACGUGACAGAUAAAACAGUCACACAAAGCAAAGACAGCAUUCUCUACAUGUAAACUAGUGUAUCCCUAAUUCAUAAUAAAACCCAAUGUAAAGUCAAUCAAUAUCAUAUAUCAAGGGAAAUCAAUCAAGCAUACCCCAACAGAUGCCAAAACAUGAAGAUCAUGCUAAACAUUAAGAAUAACUCAAUGCUGACUACCUUAGGACUUAAAACCAUGCUAAUUGGACUUAUAUUUCAACACUCAACAUUGAAAACAAGGGCCCCUUCUUUCUCAUUAAAAGAUAGAAAUGAAGUAAAAUAAACACAGCAUAACCAUUUUCUCAAAUGAAAAAUCAUACUCUUAAGGCAUAUAGAGGUCAUUGCAAUUAGGACUUCUUAAUAUUAUCAAUAUCAUAUAAAAUAUUAUCGU
rnacentral:lncRNA from 1 species